rnacentral:rRNA from 1 species
UUAAGCGACUAAGCGUACACGGUGGAUGCCCUGGCAGUCAGAGGCGAUGAAGGACGUGCUAAUCUGCGAUAAGCGUCGGUAAGGUGAUAUGAACCGUUAUAACCGGCGAUUUCCGAAUGGGGAAACCCAGUGUGAUUCGUCACACUAUCAUUAACUGAAUCCAUAGGUUAAUGAGGCGAACCGGGGGAACUGAAACAUCUAAGUACCCCGAGGAAAAGAAAUCAACCGAGAUUCCCCCAGUAGCGGCGAGCGAACGGGGAGGAGCCCAGAGCCUGAAUCAGUGUGUGUGUUAGUGGAAGCGUCUGGAAAGGCGCGCGAUACAGGGUGACAGCCCCGUACACAAAAAUGCACAUACUGUGAGCUCGAUGAGUAGGGCGGGACACGUGGUAUCCUGUCUGAAUAUGGGGGGACCAUCCUCCAAGGCUAAAUACUCCUGACUGACCGAUAGUGAACCAGUACCGUGAGGGAAAGGCGAAAAGAACCCCGGCGAGGGGAGUGAAAAAGAACCUGAAACCGUGUACGUACAAGCAGUGGGAGCCUCUUUAUGGGGUGACUGCGUACCUUUUGUAUAAUGGGUCAGCGACUUAUAUUCUGUAGCAAGGUUAACCGAAUAGGGGAGCCGAAGGGAAACCGAGUCUUAACUGGGCGUUAAGUUGCAGGGUAUAGACCCGAAACCCGGUGAUCUAGCCAUGGGCAGGUUGAAGGUUGGGUAACACUAACUGGAGGACCGAACCGACUAAUGUUGAAAAAUUAGCGGAUGACUUGUGGCUGGGGGUGAAAGGCCAAUCAAACCGGGAGAUAGCUGGUUCUCCCCGAAAGCUAUUUAGGUAGCGCCUCGUGAAUUCAUCUCCGGGGGUAGAGCACUGUUUCGGCAAGGGGGUCAUCCCGACUUACCAACCCGAUGCAAACUGCGAAUACCGGAGAAUGUUAUCACGGGAGACACACGGCGGGUGCUAACGUCCGUCGUGAAGAGGGAAACAACCCAGACCGCCAGCUAAGGUCCCAAAGUCAUGGUUAAGUGGGAAACGAUGUGGGAAGGCCCAGACAGCCAGGAUGUUGGCUUAGAAGCAGCCAUCAUUUAAAGAAAGCGUAAUAGCUCACUGGUCGAGUCGGCCUGCGCGGAAGAUGUAACGGGGCUAAACCAUGCACCGAAGCUGCGGCAGCGACACUAUGUGUUGUUGGGUAGGGGAGCGUUCUGUAAGCCUGUGAAGGUGUACUGUGAGGUAUGCUGGAGGUAUCAGAAGUGCGAAUGCUGACAUAAGUAACGAUAAAGCGGGUGAAAAGCCCGCUCGCCGGAAGACCAAGGGUUCCUGUCCAACGUUAAUCGGGGCAGGGUGAGUCGACCCCUAAGGCGAGGCCGAAAGGCGUAGUCGAUGGGAAACAGGUUAAUAUUCCUGUACUUGGUGUUACUGCGAAGGGGGGACGGAGAAGGCUAUGUUGGCCGGGCGACGGUUGUCCCGGUUUAAGCGUGUAGGCUGAUUUUCCAGGCAAAUCCGGAAAAUCAAGGCUGAGGCGUGAUGACGAGGCACUACGGUGCUGAAGCAACAAAUGCCCUGCUUCCAGGAAAAGCCUCUAAGCAUCAGGUAACAUCAAAUCGUACCCCAAACCGACACAGGUGGUCAGGUAGAGAAUACCAAGGCGCUUGAGAGAACUCGGGUGAAGGAACUAGGCAAAAUGGUGCCGUAACUUCGGGAGAAGGCACGCUGAUAUGUAGGUGAAGCGACUUGCUCGUGGAGCUGAAAUCAGUCGAAGAUACCAGCUGGCUGCAACUGUUUAUUAAAAACACAGCACUGUGCAAACACGAAAGUGGACGUAUACGGUGUGACGCCUGCCCGGUGCCGGAAGGUUAAUUGAUGGGGUUAGCGGUAACGCGAAGCUCUUGAUCGAAGCCCCGGUAAACGGCGGCCGUAACUAUAACGGUCCUAAGGUAGCGAAAUUCCUUGUCGGGUAAGUUCCGACCUGCACGAAUGGCGUAAUGAUGGCGAGGCUGUCUCCACCCGAGACUCAGUGAAAUUGAACUCGCUGUGAAGAUGCAGUGUACCCGCGGCAAGACGGAAAGACCCCGUGAACCUUUACUAUAGCUUGACACUGAACAUUGAGCCUUGAUGUGUAGGAUAGGUGGGAGGCUUUGAAGUGUGGACGCCAGUCUGCAUGGAGCCGACCUUGAAAUACCACCCUUUAAUGUUUGAUGUUCUAACGUUGACCCGUGAUCCGGGUUGCGGACAGUGUCUGGUGGGUAGUUUGACUGGGGCGGUCUCCUCCUAAAGAGUAACGGAGGAGCACGAAGGUUGGCUAAUCCUGGUCGGACAUCAGGAGGUUAGUGCAAUGGCAUAAGCCAGCUUGACUGCGAGCGUGACGGCGCGAGCAGGUGCGAAAGCAGGUCAUAGUGAUCCGGUGGUUCUGAAUGGAAGGGCCAUCGCUCAACGGAUAAAAGGUACUCCGGGGAUAACAGGCUGAUACCGCCCAAGAGUUCAUAUCGACGGCGGUGUUUGGCACCUCGAUGUCGGCUCAUCACAUCCUGGGGCUGAAGUAGGUCCCAAGGGUAUGGCUGUUCGCCAUUUAAAGUGGUACGCGAGCUGGGUUUAGAACGUCGUGAGACAGUUCGGUCCCUAUCUGCCGUGGGCGCUGGAGAACUGAGGGGCUGCUCCUAGUACGAGAGGACCGGAGUGGACGCAUCACUGGUGUUCGGGUUGUCAUGCCAAUGGCACUGCCCGGUAGCUAAAUGCGGAAGAGAUAAGUGCUGAAAGCAUCUAAGCACGAAACUUGCCCCGAGAUGAGUUCUCCCUGACUCCUUGAGAGUCCUGAAGGAACGUUGAAGACGACGACGUUGAUAGGCCGGGUGUGUAAGCGCAGCGAUGCGUUGAGCUAACCGGUACUAAUGAACCGUGAGGCUUAACCU